CCUACGGGAGGCUGCAGUGAGGAAUAUUGGUCAAUGGGCGCGAGCCUGAACCAGCCAAGUAGCGUGAAGGAUGACUGCCCUACGGGUUGUAAACUUCUUUUAUAAAGGAAUAAAGUGAGGCACGUGUGCCUUUUUUAUUUACUUUUUUAAUAAGGAUCGGCUAACUCCGUGCCAGCAGCCGCGGUAAUACGGAGGAUUCGAGCGUUAUCCGGAUUUAUUGGGGUUAAAGGGAGCGUAGAUGGGUUGUUAAGUCAGUUGUGAAAGUUUGCGGCUCAACCGUAAAAUUGCAAUUGAUACUGGCAGUCUUGAGUACAGUUGAGGUAGGCGGAAUUCGUGGUGUAGCGGUGAAAUGCUUAGAUAUCACGAAGAACUCCGAUUGCGAAGGCAGCUUACUAAACUGCCACUGACAUUGAUGCUCGAAAGUGUGGGUAUCAAACAGGAUUAGAUACCCGAGUAGUC
rnacentral:rRNA from 1 species